AACGUAGGAGGCGAGCGUUAUCCGGAGUUACUGGGCGUAAAGCGCGUGUAGGCGGCUUGUUACGUCGUUCGUGAAAACUUGGGGCUCAACCCCAAGCUUGCGGUCGAUACGGGCAGGCUAGAGUUCGGUAGGGGAGACUGGAAUUCCUGGUGUAGCGGUGAAAUGCGCAGAUAUCAGGAGGAACACCGGUGGCGAAGGCGGGUCUCUGGGCCGAUACUGACGCUGAGGAGCGAAAGCGUGGGUAGCAAACAGG
rnacentral:rRNA from 1 species